rnacentral:lncRNA from 1 species
AUGAUUCAAAAAUCCCUCUACCGCUUCAAAUCUUAUACACAAAGCCAAGCCUGGAGGGGGUGGAUCAUAUGAGGAAUGAAGAUGAGGUAGUAGGGUCUCUGGGUCUGUGUUGCUGAUGCAUAGGGCAGUUGUAGAUGAACAGUAGUUUCAGAUAAUCGAGAAGUGAGAUGUAGGGGGAGAGCCAAGGAGAGAGACUGAGGAGUAGGACCCCACAUCACAGAGGAAAAAGCCAUGAAAAAGCAGACAAAAGUGAAUGGAAAAAAGCGGUUUUGGAGAGAGAUAUUGUGGGCGAGACGAGAGAGCAGAGGCUUGAGAGUACUACACCCCCAUCAAUACCACUUUCCUUCUGCCAAAACCACUCUCCCCCUGUCGGAUGCUUCGGAAUACAUGCCGCGGUUUUUCAUACUCUUAUUCCUCCGUACCCUCGUGGUCUUGUCACAAAUCUUUCUCUCUUCCUUUAUUUUUCUAUCAUUAACCCAUCUACGCCAU